rnacentral:rRNA from 1 species
CCUACGGGAGGCAGCAGUGGGGAAUAUUGGACAAUGGGGGGAACCCUGAUCCAGCCAUGCCGCGUGUGUGAAGAAGGCCCUCGGGUUGUAAAGCACUUUCAGUGAGGAAGAACGCCUGGUGGUUAAUACCCAUCAGGAAAGACAUCACUCACAGAAGAAGCACCGGCUAACUCCGUGCCAGCAGCCGCGGUAAUACGGAGGGUGCGAGCGUUAAUCGGAAUUACUGGGCGUAAAGCGCGCGUAGGUGGCUGGAUAAGCCGGUUGUGAAAGCCCCGGGCUCAACCUGGGAACGGCAUCCGGAACUGUCAAGAUAGAGUGAAGGAGAGGAAGGUAGAAUUCCCGGUGUAGCGGUGAAAUGCGUAGAGAUCGGGAGGAAUACCAGUGGCGAAGGCGGCCUUCUGGACUGACACUGACACUGAGGUGCGAAAGCGUGGGUAGCAAACAGGAUUAGAUACCCUUGUAGUC